CUGAAUCCAAGAUUUGGUGAGUUGGGUAGAGAAAGAGAGCUUCUGCAUUUGUAUAAUUUCGCUUUGACUAUAGCUUAAAUGAUUAUAGAAUUAGUAUGUAAGAUGACUUCUCCUUAUACACCUAUUAUAUCUAAUGUUUACAAUUCAGAAAUAUCUUGUGCCUUGAAGUAUGGAAUAAAAUUGGCUGAGCUUGGAUUCCUGUUGUGAAAUGCAGGUGUGGAAAUUCAAAACCAUUGUUUACUCAGGCAUCCAGUCUUAAUCAAGUUAGAACAUUUUACUUAAAAUUAAUAUGAUUAGGCCAGCCAUGGUAGCUCAAACCUAUAAUCCCAGUGCUUUAGAAUGCUGAAGCAGGAGGAUCACUUGAAGUUGGGAAUUUGAGACCAGCCUGGGCAAUACAGCAAGACCCUGUGUUGCCCAGGCUGGUCUCAAAUAAAAAAAAAGAAAAAUUAAAAAAUUAGUUGGGUUUGGUGGCCAGUGCCUGUAGUCCCAGCUACUCAGGAGGCUGAGGUGGGAGGAUCACUUAAGCCCAGGAGGUCAAGGCUGCAGUGAGCUGUGAUGUUACCACCGCACUCUAGCCUCGGCAACAGAGGGAGACCUGUCUU
rnacentral:sRNA from 1 species